rnacentral:rRNA from 1 species
UACGUAGGGGCUAGCGUUAUCCGGAAUUACUGGGCGUAAAGGGUGCGUAGGUGGUUUCUUAAGUCAGAGGUGAAAGGCUACGGCUCAACCGUAGUAAGCCUUUGAAACUGUGAAACUUGAGUGCAGGAGAGGAGAGUGGAAUUCCUAGUGUAGCGGUGAAAUGCGUAGAUAUUAGGAGGAACACCAGUUGCGAAGGCGGCUCUCUGAACUGUAACUGACACUGAGGCACGAAAGCGUGGGGAGCAAACAGGAUUAGAUACCCUGGUAGUCCCUGA